CAGUGGCGUGUCUGAAGGGACAGGCAGGGAGAGGCACGCAGAUACAGCUAUGUGCCAUUGAUGCCCAUCAGCGAGAGGCGCCAUCUCUCUCCAAAAGAACACAGAGCUCAACUUCCAGAAAGUAAGAUCUAUUCCCUUCUCUCCUUGGCUAUGGAAUAUCAAUGGCAAUAAUUUAUUUGAAGCAAUGGGUCUAGCUAGUACUCAUUCCCCACUGGGUUCCCAUGGUAGUGCAUUGACUUCUCUUUCCUGGGUCAAGGUCGGGCUCUCUGUGAUGUGAUAAAGUAUUUAGCUAUCCUUUUUUUUCCCCAACAUCUCAUCUAAGAUGGUGGUGACCAUGUGGUAAACACUCAGUUGACACUUGGUGUUUUCUUAAUAGCUUCUCUUUUGAUUAAUUAUUGCUUAAACUGUAAUGACUGUCAAAUUGGAGGGAAAUGAACAUGUGAGCACACUUUUAGCAAAAGGUAUUUCAUCUCCCAUUCUAAACUAUGGUGAUGGCAUUUGCUGUAUAGCAUGUGAAAGCUUAGUUUCACCACAAUGAGACGUGAUCAGUGUAGAUACCAUCUGCAUAAAACCCUUUGAUAUCCUUGCAAAUUGAGGACAAUAAACAGGGUAUAUUAGAUUCAUUUAGGCUGACAAAUACACAAGCCAUAUGAUGUAACUGAAGAAAUUUUCCAGAAAUACUCUGACCAGCACUUGACAUGGUCCCAGACAUGUAAGGGACUCACGUGUCCUUAUUGGUUUUGAACACAGAAGCAUCUCAAGUCCGACACCCAAGCCCUCAUCUGCAACUUGCAUGUUUUCUUCUUUUUGUUUGCCUUCAAUGAAAACCCUUCUCAGAGUUCUGGGCACCUGCACACCAGCAGCCAGGUGUUCAGCUCUUCAAACGCCAACCAACUACCAACACAUACCUCUCUCUGUUACACUUACACUUGGUGGGUUGGGGGAAACAGAAACAGAUGCUCUAGGCAAAGCCCACAGGACAGAACAAUAAAAAAGACUAGAGAUGAAGAAAGAAAAAUGCCACAGGUUUUUUUUUUCCCCAGAGAAAGGUUUAGCAAACUCAAUUUCAGCAAAACAAAAAAGGCAACACAGAUGAACUAAUCUGUGGAUUUUACUCACGUUUGAAAAUAAGUUGGUUCACUGCAAAAUAAUAUAAAUAUAUAUGCAUAUGAAAUAUACAUCAAUGUAUAUAGAUACAGAAACACUGAGUCAUUAGAAGUCACUAGUCAAUCACAUGAUAACACUAUGACCAAAGCAUUAAAGACAAGCAUAAACUAUUCUCCAGGAACUAAAGUCUCCUCAGGAAUCAGUUGCCCUUUAUUUUCCAAGCUAAGCCCUCUAUAAGUUCAAGACACUGAGCUUCUUAAACCCAAAGUUCCUCAGAAAUCAUUUUUGCAAAGACGUCAGAUACUGUGGGGGUUUUUUCGUAAAAAGAUGCCCCAAUGUGUCUAUGAUUCAAAUAUUUUCCAGGUUUUCCUAUCCUUGUGGCGCGGGAGGGUGGUAGGGGGGAGAAGAUAAGAAUAAUUAGUGGUUUUUUUUUUCUGCCUAGUUGUUAAACACCCUAAUUACUUCAAGCACCAUUACCACCAUUUGCACAUAAGCCAUCCUUUGAAAAUACUAUGCAAUCUACAGUAAAAUUGAUGCUAAUUUCUUCUGAGAAUAUAGCCAAUAUUAACACAAUUUGGAGAGUUAUUGGAUUUACUUUUUAAAUCUUAACAGGGCUGUCAAUAUUAUAAGCGCACACAAUGGAGAUAAUCUACUACCAUCUGAAGUGGAACUGACAACAACAAAAAAAACUCUUUAGAAAGACUACACAUUUUUAUCGACAUGAAAAGUAUUAUAAUUAUAUAUCAUGUACCAUAACUUUUAUUACUGUCUUGCCACAAUUUUGAUACUAAAAUGUCUUUCUAUAUUCCUUCAUGCAAAAUUAGAGUCAUAUUGUUGGGUCUUUUUUCUUCCUUUUGUACGGAAUAGAAUUACUUUUUCAGAUUGUUCUCUCAAUAAAUCAACAUUCUGGUGCAGUUUGUGCAGGCAUUGCACAUGUUUCUUUAUCAUAAAUUCAAUGGGUUAACAAAUCAGGGCAUUAGCUAUAAUAAAAUGUAACAAAGGAACCAGACACCAGAUAAAUAUUAGUUGAAUGAAUAAAUCUUAAUGUGAUCCAUUUUUGUAUCACUGACACUGAAUUUUGUUAAGUAAAUAAAACCCGUGAUGAGAACUAUAAUAUGCGAGGAACGGUGGUUACUAAAGAUGCAACAUUGAAUGAGAUUGGGUGUUUGCUCUUGGAGUUGGGGGGUAAACAUAUACACAAGGCACAAUGUGAAAAGUACCAGUAGUGUUACAAAUGAUACCAAGGUUCUGGGGAAGAUGAAAUUACACCUGAUUGCGAGAAUCAGAAUGGUUUCAUGGAGAAGGUGACCCCUGUGGUGUAUCUUAAAGGAUGAAUAGAAAUUCACUGGGCAGAAAUGAAGGGUGACCAUCCAGGAAGAAAGAACAAUAAGAAGAAAAGUAGGAAGCCAGAAGGAAACAUUUGGGAGCCAUGGUGUAGUAAUAGGGCCUUGAGGAACUCCUAUUGUGGCUCAGCAGGUUAAGAACCUGACUAGCAUCUGUGAGGAUGUGGGUUUAAUCUCUGGCCUCCCUCAGUGGGUUAAGGAUCCAGCACUACCACCAGCUGCAGCAUUUAGAAACUAAAGAAAAUUGUAAGACUUCCAGCAGGAGAUGAGUAAAAAUGAAGGCUUGAAUAAUGGCUUCUCUCAGUGUCGGGGAUGCUAGAACUUACCUCGCCUCCAAUUGGUCACAACAGGGGGCUUCCUACAACAUGCUAGGAAUACCCAGGACGCUCUUUACAUUUCGUUUCUGUUUGUUCAUUCUUUUAGCAUAAUAAACACAAGUGCUUCCCAUCAAGAGGCACCAGGAGCAACCUUCUCAAGGAUAAGAUGCUAUCUUCACUCUCACAGUUUUAAUCAUCUAGUACUGAUGCAACUCUGGACUGUCCUGAUCACUCUGGAUGCAGGUUUUUUCUUUCUUUUUUUGAUAUUUGUCCUUAUUUUUCUUUUUUUGGAAAGGAAAGAUUUAGUGGGUUUAAAAAUAAUGUAAAAUCCAAAAAGAAAACAAUGCAUGGCUUGCAUAAAAAAUGUGGAAGAUAAAGUUGAGGAAAAUCUCAGAAAAUAGAGCAAAAAGAAAGAGAACAGGAGAAAGUACAAAAACAUUAGAGUAGCAUCUAAGAAGUUCAAUUUCCAAAGAGCGAACAUUCUAGAAAGAAAGAAAAGAGGAAAUGGAAGAAAGCCAUCAAAAAAUAAUUCAGGACAAUUCCCAGAAUUAAGGAUGUAGCUUUCCCGACUCAAAGGCUACUGAGUGUCCAGGACAAAAGAUGAAAAUAGACAUGUGUCAACACAAAUCAUUGUAAAUUUUCAGAAUACUGGGGAUAACAAAAAUCAUAUAAACUUCUAGAGAGAAAACAAUAAAAACGCCUUCACAAUCCAGCCCUGCACACCCCUUCGUUGUCACCUCCCCUCAGUACAAUACAGCCCAGCCCCCUUUCACCCAACUCCCCUCAAAUGUAAUUCAGACUAUGGAGGUUCCAGGUUAGGGGUCCAAUUGGACCUGUAGCUGCUGGCCUAUGCCAGAGCCACAGCAACACUGGAUCUGAGCCACAUUUGCAACCUACACCAACGUACACAGCAAUGCUGGGUCCUUAAUUCACUGAGCAAGGCCAGGGAUCAAACCCGAGUCCUCAUGGAUGCUUGUUGGGUUUGUUAACUGCUGAGCCAUGACAGGAACUCCAACAUUUUUGAAUGAAUGGAUAAAAGACACUUUGCAGACAGCUACCAGAAUGGAAUUUUUCUUCUUCCUACCUCACUCUUAAAAUCCAUUUCUUUUCUUUUUUCCUUUGGUUCACCAAUCCACCCUUUUCAAUGCAGAAUGUUGGCAAUACCGGUAUUGUAUCACUUGAAUGGCUUCUGAAUAAGGUUUCUGAUGUAAGAAGUCAUGUCAAGGCUUCAAUAGAAUGAUUGCAAAAUUGGUCAGGUUCCCAUAUAAACCAAGAUUCUCACAAUUCUCCACGGAGUUAGGAUGAGGAAAAGAAGGAACAGGUUGAAUGGAACAGUUCUACCCAAUCAGGUGAGGCCUUCUCAAAUUUGCAUUGGCCAUUGGAUAAUCAUGAGUUUAGGAAGUAAGACUACAUAAAUGUGUGUAUGUAUAUAUUUACAUAUAUAUGUAUGUGUGUGUGUGUGUGUGUAUGCCUUGAAUACAAAAAGUGCUCAAUGGAGUUCCCGUCGUGGCACAGUGGUUAACGAAUCCGACUAGGAACCAUGAGGUUGCAGGUUUUAUCCCUGGCCUUGCUCAGUGGGUUAAGGAUCUGGCGUUGCCGUGAGCUGUGCUGUAGGUUGCAGAUGCGGCUUGGAUUCCGUGUUGCUGUGGCUCUGGCGUAGGCAGGUGGCUACAGCUCUGAUUAGAUCCCUAGCCUGGGAAACUCCAUUUGCCACAAGAGAGGCCCUAGAAAAGGCAAAAAGACAAAAAAAAAAAAGUGUUCAAUAUAUGUCUAAGCAAACAAUUCACAAAAUGGACCUCUGGGUUCUUCAAACUAAUAAGUUUGUACUUCAGGUUCAAUUGAUUCAGUAAACACUUUUUUUAACUCAAUACAUUUUAUUGCAUUUAUGGUUGUACAAUGAAAUGCAGUAAAUACUUUUUGAACACCUACUUUAUUGCAGACCCUUUUCUGGCGUUGGGGAUACAGCACUAAAAGACAGAGGAGGUCCAUGACCUCUUGCAGCUUAUAUUCUAAUGGGAGAGUCAGAUAACACACAAAACAAGGUAGAGUGAUGGGGUGCACUGGGUGGGAUUGGUUGAAGCCUGUGAGAACAGGAUUAGAUGGUGAGGGAGACUCUGGGGAGAUACAUUUCUCUUGAGACCUGAGUCAGGAGAAGGACCCAGCUGCACCAAGAGCAGGGAAGACCAGGCAGAAAAAAGAGUGAAAGCGAAGGGUCUAAAGUAGAAACAAGGCGGAGUGCUCGACGAACAAAAAGAAUGCAAACUAGUCAGAACCAUAAUUACAAAUAAGGAAGAAAUCAUGAGACUGGAGAGGUAAGAAGGGGCCAUAUCAUGUAAGGGCUGGAUAACCAAGUGAGGACUAUUGAUUUCUCUUCCGCAUAUGGAGAAAUAGUUUUCUAGGAAAUUCUCAGUAAGAUUGUCUCUUUCAUGUCAUUUCCCGUUCUACUGUAUUCAUGUACCUUCCACUUCUAAGAAACAAGGCAAUGAAAUGAAAAUGUCUUUUUCAUAUUUUAAUUCAAUCAUAUGGUUACCUAGCACAGAAGGAAGAUUUCUCUUUCUUUUUGCUUUUUAGGACUGCACCCAUGGCAUAUUGAAGUUCCCAGGCUAGGGGUCCAAUCAGAGCUACGGUUGUUGGCCUAUGCCACAGCCAUAGCAAUGCGGGAUCCAAGCCAUGUCUGCGACCUACACCACAGCACAGGCAACACCAGAUCCCCAAUCCACUGAGCAAUGCUGGGGAUUGAACCUGCAUCCUCAUGGUUACUAAUCAGAUUUGUUUCCACUGCAUCAUGACGGGAACUCCAAGUUUCUUAUUUUAAAUGAGGAUGCAGUUCUCUCACUCAUGGGAAAAGAAACUCUUGGAAAAAGGAAUCAAGGAAGGUCAUUAUCAGGUCUAAAUAUUUUCCCCAUUCUUUUGCUACUCUGAAUAAGUGGAUCUUGAAGGAAUAUGAUUGCUUAGGGAUCCACCACACUGACUGAACAAGCCAGAGCUGGAAUUACAGGCUUAGAGUGAAACUUUGUCCAUUCAAGCUAGUUUGUGUUGCAACAGCUGCAGUUUUUCACGAAACACUUAAAUUUUCAUGCUCUUCCCUCCCAUUUUGAUGUAUACAUGCAGGAGCUUCUCCUUAUCUUUUGCUCUUUCUUAAUCUUAUCACUGAUGCCUCUACUUAGUCCAGGUGAGCAUUAUCCAUCAACAUAGGCUCGGGCUUCUCCUAAGGUCACUUCGUUAGGUUUUGCCAGUCAACAUAAGACAAGCAUUCACAUCAAUUCAAAGGAUCCAUAAAGCCGAAAGUCAGAGGGGAGUAUUUUUAAUUAGGGCAAGAGUAAUAGUACAAUUGAGACAAAACUAUUUCAUUCAAGACUUUAAGGGACCCAUUUUCCAGUGUCAUUUCUGCUGUAAUGUACAAGUGCCCCAUAAUGCAGGAAUUAAAAAAUUGCCAAAAGGAAUGAAGCCAAUAGCACACCAGCGCCACAGGUAGAGUGCUCUGCAGUAACAUGCACCUGCCAUUGGCCCAGCCUCGUUGAUGGAAUCCUCCACCUAAAUGUAAUUCAUUUUAAAUACUUAGUUUUGUUUCUUCUAUUAUAAAACUACUUAAGUCCAUAAAAUUGAGGUGCUUUAAAAAUGGUGAAAUCUUUAUUUAAAACACCAAAAUGCUGUGUAUAUCUAUACAUUGCAUUAAGAGAGUCUCGGUGUUGAGAACAAUUAUAUCACCGUGUGAUUGUCUUCUCAAGUCAGCACGUAUACAGAUUGCAUGCUGAAAUCUUGACUUCACAAUUGCUCUCUCCGCCACAUUACAUCGGUCAACAAUCCUCGCUAGUUCUACCUCCAAAUCUCUCAUCAAAACCAAGCCCUCCACCUCCACCUCCACUGUCUUAAUUCAGGCUCAGACACAUACAAACUAUUCUAAUAGCCUCCAGUCGAAUACACCUACUGCUUCUCCCUGAUCAGCGUCAAAUGUCACCUCCUCUGUGAAGAUUCCCCACUCCAGGGUGUAAUUCAGUAACUCCAACUCGCUUUGCCCCAGCGGCAAUUAGUACACACCACUCUUACAACACUGAUUAGCCUCUGCUGCAGUGCCAUCAAAUAAAAACAUGUAAGUCACAUGUGUAAUUUUAAAUGUUCUAGUAGCCUCAUUAAAAAGGUAAAGAGAAAUUAGUAAUUUUCAAUAAUAUAUUUUAUUUAACCAGUAUAUAUAAAAUAUUAUCAUCUCAACAUGUAAUCAAUACAAAAAAUAAAACAAGAUAUUUCAUAAUUUUUAUAUUUUUUCAAAAGCCAAUGUAUAUUUUAUCUUUAUAGCAUAUUUUAGACACCAAAUUGUCAUGAAAAAUAAUUGAUCUAUAUUUAGAUGUCAUAAAAUUUACAAUUGAAAAGUAAUUGAUCUAUAUUUAGAUGUCAUAAAAUUUAGAACUGAAAGGAAAGUAGAUUCACUUACACAAGUUGUUCCAAAUAGACCUGAGAGUUUUAUGAUAACUACAUAUGAACUGUUAUAUUUUAAGUUAAAAUCAAAUUAACACUUAAAAAUCAGUUGGGAAAGUUGGAUAGUUGCAUGUAAAUCAAUAAAGUUAGAAUACACCCUCAUACCAUAUACAAAAAUAAACUCAAAAUGCCUUAAAGACUUAAACAUAAGACAUGACACCAUAAACUCCUAGAUCAUAGACAAAAUAUUCUCUGACACAAACUGUACCAAUGUUUUAAAUGGGACCUAAUCAAACUUACAAGCUUUUGCACAGCAAAGGAAACCAUAAACAAAACAAAAAGACAAACUGCAGAAAUGGAGAAAAUAUUUGCAAAUGAUGUCACCAACAAGGGAUUAAUUUCCAAAAUAUUCAAACAGCUCAUACACCUCAGUAGCAAAAACAAAAAACAAAAAACCAACCCAAUGGAAAAGUGGGCCAAAGAUCUAAACAGACAUUUCUCCAAAGCAGACAUACCUAUGGCCAGCAGGCACAGGAAAAGAUACUCAGUGUUGAUAAUUAUUGGAGAAAUGCAAAACUACUGCCUUUGGAAUGGAUUAGCAAUGAGAUCCUGCUGUGUAGCACUGGGAACUAUGUCUAAUCACUUAUGAUGGAGCAUGAUAAUGUGAGAAAAUAGAAUGUGUACAAGUAUGUGUAACUGGGUCACCAUGCUGUACAGUAGAAAAAAAUUGUAUUGGGG
rnacentral:lncRNA from 1 species